rnacentral:misc_RNA from 1 species
ACACCUCAACUCUCAUGGUCCGCCAUGAUGAGCUUGGACUUUGGGGGUCUUGCCGGCCUGCCGUCGGCUCCUCUCAAAAGAAUCAGCUUGCCAGUGUUUGGUGGCGUCACAGGUGUGAUAGUUAUCUACGCUUGUGGUCUGCCGCCAGGUAACCUCCAGUGAUGGAGGUUCGCUGGAGCUCACAAAUGUCUCUCCUCAGUGAGGACAGCUUCUUGAAC